rnacentral:rRNA from 1 species
GUUUGAUCCUGGCUCAGAUUGAACGCUGGCGGCAUGCCUUACACAUGCAAGUCGAACGGCAGCACGGAGCAAUCCUGGUGGCGAGUGGCGAACGGGUGAGUAAUAUAUCGGAACGUGCCCAGUCGUGGGGGAUAACGUAGCGAAAGCUACGCUAAUACCGCAUACGAUCUAUGGAUGAAAGCGGGGGAUCGCAAGACCUCGCGCGAUUGGAGCGGCCGAUAUCAGAUUAGGUAGUUGGUGAGGUAAAGGCUCACCAAGCCGACGAUCUGUAGCUGGUCUGAGAGGACGACCAGCCACACUGGGACUGAGACACGGCCCAGACUCCUACGGGAGGCAGCAGUGGGGAAUAUUGGACAAUGGGCGAAAGCCUGAUCCAGCAAUGCCGCGUGAGUGAUGAAGGCCUUAGGGUUGUAAAGCUCUUUUACCCGAGAUGAUAAUGACAGUAUCGGGAGAAUAAGCUCCGGCUAACUCCGUG